rnacentral:rRNA from 1 species
AUUGAACGCUGGCGGCAGGCCUAACACAUGCAAGUCGAACGGUAACAGGAAGAAGCUUGCUUCUUUGCUGACGAGUGGCGGACGGGUGAGUAAUGUCUGGGAAACUGCCUGAUGGAGGGGGAUAACUACUGGAAACGGUAGCUAAUACCGCAUAACGUCUCAAGACCAAAGAGGGGGACCUUCGGGCCUCUUGCCAUCGGAUGUGCCCAUAUGGGAUUAGCUAGUAGGUGGGGUAACGGCUCACCUAGGCGACGAUCCCUAGCUGGUCUGAGAGGAUGACCAGCCACACUGGAACUGAGACACGGUCCAGACUCCUACGGGAGGCAGCAGUGGGGAAUAUUGCGCAAUGGGCGCAAGCCUGAUGCAGCCAUGCCGCGUGUAUGAAGAAGGCCUUCGGGUUGUAAAGUACUUUCAGCGGGGAGGAAGGGAGUAAAGUUAAUACCUUUGCUCAUUGACGUUACCCGAAGAAGAAGCACCGGCUAACUCCGUG